AUUGAACGCUGGCGGCAUGCUUUACACAUGCAAGUCGAACGGUAACAGGCCGCAAGGUGCUGACGAGUGGCGAACGGGUGAGUAAUGCAUCGGAACGUGCCCUGCCGUGGGGGAUAACGCAGCGAAAGCUGCGCUAAUACCGCAUACGAUCUCCUGAAGAAAGCGGGGGACCGAAAGGCCACGCGCGAUUGGAGGGGCCGAUGUCAGAUUAGGUAGUUGGUGGGGUAAAGGCCCGCCAAGCCAACGAUCUGUAGCUGGUCUGAGAGGACGACCAGCCACACUGGGACUGAGACACGGCCCAGACUCCUACGGGAGGCAGCAGUGGGGAAUUUUGGACAAUGGGCGCAAGCCUGAUCCAGCAAUGCCGCGUGCAGGAAGAAGGCCUUCGGGUUGUAAACUGCUUUUGUACGGAACGAAACGUUCCGGGUUAAUACCCUGGGCUAAUGACGGUACCGUAAGAAUAAGCACCGGCUAACUACGUGCCAGCCGCCGCCGUAACAC
rnacentral:rRNA from 1 species